UGGGGAAUAUUGCACAAUGGGGGAAACCCUGAUGCAGCGACGCCGCGUGAGUGAAGAAGUAAUUCGUUACGUAAAGCUCUAUCAGCAGGGAAGAAAUACUGACCUUACGGUCAGCAGACGGUACCUGAGUAAGAAGCCCCGGCUAACUACGUGCCAGCAGCCGCGGUAAUACGUAGGGGGCAAGCGUUAUCCGGAUUUACUGGGUGUAAAGGGAGCGUAGACGGUACGCCAAGUCUGAAGUGAAAUGCCGCAGCUUAACUGCGGAACUGCUUUGGAAACUGGCGGGCUAGAGUGCGGGAGGGGUAAGCGGAAUUCCUAGUGUAGCGGUGAAAUGCGUAGAUAUUAGGAGGAACACCAGUGGCGAAGGCGGCUUACUGGACUGUAACUGACGUUGAGGCUCGAAAGCGUGGGGAGCAAACAGG
rnacentral:rRNA from 1 species